CAGACCGAAUCUGCCUACGUCAACUAAAACCCUACACGAUCGAAGGAGCAAAAGAAGUUUCCAGACGGAGCCCACUCACGGAGGCCACGAACGGAGGUUCAUCAUCGGAGGCAUCGCCGGAUGAACACCACGCUUCACCUUCAAUUUCACGCUUCUCUUUCACUCUCAUCUCCAAAGCUCACACAAGAAAUCGGGAGAAAAACUGAGUCCGGAUCUAAGCUAGCAGAACAUAUACGAAUCUUCUCCAUUUCAUCAUCUUUGAUUCCAGACUUUCAUUCUCACUUCCAAAAUUCAUACCAAAAUCAAGAACAAAAAUCGAAUCCGGAUCCAAGCCAUUUCUUCAAUUUGACUUCAAUCGAAUCGGAUUGUGCACACGGAAAUGAGAAGAAACACGGCCGUAUUGUGGAUGCGUCCAAGAAAAUAAAUCCGAUGGUGUAAGCAAGGAGAAGAAGAUGACUCACCAGACUGAAAUUCUGACGCAGUGGUUGUAGUUGCGGUUGUUGUGGAUUGGUCGUUGCGUACUGGUGUGAGAUUGAGAGUUUUUGCGUGUGUAUGAGGGUGAGGUUCAGCUCAAGCACGAAUGGAGCGUCAAUGUGAAGCUCCAAUGGCUUCUUGACCAAGCUUUAUGUGAGGGUGAAAUGAUAGACCUGGUUUGAAGGAUGGUGAGUUUUCUGCAGAAAAACCAGCGUUCUUCAGAAACGCGACCAGGAGAUAUAUACAGAUUGAAAAAUCACAGAGUUAACAAUCUGUUAACAUUUUCCACUUCAAAACGGUUAGAGUUCCUAAUCUGUUACUAACUCUGUUAGUGUGAAACGGUUAGGUUAAUCACUGGCCUGAGUUGUAUUCUACUGAAUUAUGCAGGUUACCAUGUGGAGUUUGUUAGAUUGGUUAAAAUACAGUUUGGACUUCAAUGUUAGUAACUGUCAUGUAUUGGUGGUUAGGGAAGUGUUAAGUUCGUUGGAGAGUUUAACUGAAAUUGCAAAUGGUUGGUUAAGUUGGUUAUUUGGAUAUUUGGACAAGGCAUGGGGAUAUGGUGCUAGUUGUGGAUAUCCAAUCAUGUUGAUGGAUAACUAAAUAUUAAUGGAUUUUGGACUGUUAUUGGACAUAGAUUUGAUUAUGAUAAAUGAUUUACAUGGAUUUGUAUUUUUAAGAA